CCAUUUUCCUAACUCUCAGGUAGUAGUUUGAGGGGGUGAAGGUCUUUUUUUGAAGAAGACAACGAUUUCUGGUCAUUCGUUCGUCUUCACUGUUCACUCGUCUCUCCACAAAGCUUAGAAUAGCAUCGUGCUGAUUUCUAGUUUGACUCCAGAAAUUUAUUGUAAUAAGUGGUAGAUAGGUUUCGAUAGAUAGACUUAGUGAUAAUUUUUUGAGUAAGAAAUAGAUUAGAUAAAUAGAUAGGCUUCGUAAUAGGUUUUUAAGUUUUGAAAUAGGUUAGAUAAACAGAUAGGUUUAGUUAUAGAUUUUUGAGUUUAGUAUUAGGUGACAGAUAGGUUAUAUAGAUAUAUAGGAUAAAUAAAUAGGGGAUUAAUUAAUAGGGAGUAGCUUAGGUAGUUCAUAUUAUCGAGUUUCUGGCAGUAACGAUAGCUGUUGACUGUUGUGUUUCUGCGGUGUCUGCGUCUGUUCAGGUGGUUUUCUUACAAAGGAUAGGGGGAGGGAAUGUGGAGGACGCGGUUCGGAGAGCACUAGUCCGACUGGUUACUAAUGAAGUGGCCACAAACUUCAGCUGGGAAGGCAGGAAAGGGAAGAGGGCCUUAAACAGCCUUCUGAUUAUUAAAACCCUGGAGAAAGUUGUUGCUGCGUCGCAUACAGACUUUACCAGCAAGCUGUUUGAAAUACGGGUGAAGGAGUGGUUCCGGCAGUCUGGAACCAGAAUUUAUAAUC